AUACUUAUCUGGCAGGGAACCAUCAGUGAUCAGGAGGGCCAAGGUUCCAGGAGGAGGCUAUCCCAUUGCACUUCAGGUGUGCUGACGCCUGUGAUAUCCCCAAAUGCAGGAUAUUGGCUGCAUAAUUUGUGGUAGUAGGGGGACUGUGUUCGUGCUAUUGUUAA